CAAAGAAUGGGGGCAUUAUAUGUGAAGGGCACAGCACAGGGGGCAUUAAAUGUGUGGGGCACAUGACAGGAGCAUUCUAUGUGAGGGGCACAGCACAGAGGGCAUUAUUAUGUGGGGGAACAGGACGGGUCAUAUUAUAUGUAGGGGCACAAGAUGGGGCAUUAUUACUAUAUGUGAAGGCACAGAGUGUUUUGCCUUUCAGAAGUAUAGUGUAUAUUGUGAGGAAUUUCUGGGGUGGUACGUUUUUUAGGGGCCACAAUACAUUACGGUAUUUUACUCAGAGGGUAGUUACAGCACAGCAAGUUAUAUUCAGAGAAUGCACUGUGUGGUAGUAUUAGAUUUAGAGGGCACAGUGUGUGUUAGUAUUAUAUUCAGUGGGUACAGUGUGUGAUAGUAUUAUAUUUAGAGGGUGCAGCGUGUGAUAGUAUUAUAUUCAGAGGGUGCAGUGUUUGGUAGUAUUAAAUUUAGAGGGCACAGAGUGUGGUAGUAUUAUAUUCAGAGGGUACAGUGUAUGGUGGUAUUAUAUUCAGAGGGUACAGUGUGUUGUAUAUUCAGGGGGUACAGUAUGUCAGAAUUAUAUUAGGAGGGUGUGUGCCAGUAUUAUAUUCAAAGAAUACAGUGUUUGGCAGUAUUAUAAUAAUUAUUGUUUUCAUAUAGAGGAUCAGAAUGCAUUGGCAUAGUGAGGAGACGUCUGGGCAUCAAGUUCUGCAGAGAGAAGAUUUAGCUGGAACAAAUCCUGGCGCCAAUCAGAGAGCAGCACUACUGAAAUAGAACUCCCAGGAGGUAACAGCGUGUCACACAUGUGAUGUCAUAACCAUUGUCCACCAAAGAGCAGCACUGAGCAGAAAUAACACUGCUCCUGUUCAUUCUCCAUCAGUGAGGGGCCGGUGCUGGACACUGUGUAGGGACGCGGGAAUGCAAAGUCAUACACAUGACUGUGACUGGUAAGUGUUACAUUGUUGUGUCCAAAAGAUCUUUAGUGCAGUUCCAUGUGUAUUUCUAUGAUAAACAUGUAAAUGAUUUAUCUUUUUUUUCUUAUCUUAGAUGCACUAUCUCCAGGACAUGGAGUAGCAUUUCCGGACCUACAGCAAGACGUUGGAUGAAGGCAUAGCCCCAGAAAUAACACUGGUCCUGUUCAUCAAUGAGGGGCCGGUGCUGGACACUGUGUAGGGACACGGGAAUGCAAAGUCAUGCACAUGACUGUGACUGAUGCACUAUUUCCAGGACAUGGAGUAGCAUUUCGGGACCUACAGCAAGACGUUGGAUGAAGGCACAGGCCUAGGAAUCAUGCACAUACACAGAAACAUUUGCCCAAAUUCUAGAGGUAACCUCCUUUAGUAUGCCCAGAGGAAGGGCCAUACAGUAGCCAUGGAUUCCCUACAGGUUUCCUCCCCUCUGGAGGUUUUUCCUGUCCUGAGUAUUAGUUACUGUACGCUCUUUGUGAGUGAUGGGAGGUUACAAAAAAUCCCCUACACAAACAUUUUAAUAAAUAAUAAAUAAAG